GGAUUAUCUACUGUGGUGAUAGACGAUGAUCAAAGGGAUGCAGUUCUGCUGACUAUGAAGAUUGAUUCUAAAGAGGAAAUGGAAAGGAAUAUUUUUGCCUUAUAUGUGCUCCUAAAACUUAUUUCAAUUUGUUUGAUUUUCAUGUAGGUAUUUUUGUUGGUUUAGCUACACAUGGUGCUCACUGAUAUACUAUUUUCGAUGCCAUGAUAUUGUUACAUGUUUCGUUUCCUAUAUACUUAUUGUACUUAUUGUAGUGCCAAGAAAGCCGACCAUCAAAAGCUUUCAAUGGGUACAAGCCAACCAUUGAUUUCGAGGUAACUGACCAUGGACUUUCAAUGGGUACAAGGAACCAUUGAUUCUAAGGGAACUGACCGUGAACUUGUUAAAGGAGGAUAAAGGUAAACUGCAAUACAACGCCAUUUAAAUAAACAUAAUAGAUUCUCAUUGCCUCGAUUAUUUUCGAUAUGUGUUACUCCCUCCAUCCCAAUAUAUUACAACCUAGGAUGGGAUUAGACCCAUUCUAGGACUACGAAUCUGGACAAUGGCUUCCUAUGUACCAUGCUAUGCUAUCUAACUACUGCUUUGGAGCAUCACUUAAUGUAUUAAUCGCUACACUACUUAUGAUAAGCUUUGCAAAUGUGCUAGAUUAGUUACAUAUCUCUAUGCGUAAUGAUUUGUUCUGUUCGUUUGAACUGUUCAUAGCAUAGUGAUAAUGUGCUUUUCCUAUCAUUCUAUUGCUUUAUAUUUCAAUGCUUACUUCAUAUGACUAAAUAAUAACACCUUUACUCAUGAUAGGGCGCUGCAAAGCGCGCCUAAUGGUCUAGUUAAGAUCACGGUCUAGGGUUUAAAUUCACUGUACACUCUUCACUCUUCAACCAGUUCAGAUCUACUAUGGGUGUCCUUUGCUCCCUUGUCGGCCUCCAUCGAGCCCCGUUGAGGCCACCGUCCUCUCCACUGCUAGCCUCCUCCAAGCACUGACGAGGCUGCCGUCCUCUCCACCGCCGGCCUCCAUCGAGCCCCAACGAAGCUUGUUAUACAUGCUAUAUGUAGUACAAUCUUCGAUGCUUGUGUAUAUGUUUGUAUUGCUAAGUACAUUAUUUCUUGCAAAUUGUAACUCGGUGAUAGGUUUGAUGGUUAACUCUUCAAGAUGCAUCGAUGGUUUUGUGUAAGUUCUCUGAAUUUUUUGACAAAUUUUAAAUUACUACAACAAUGUGAAAUGGAUGUGAAUGGAAAUGUAACUGUGAAAUGGAUGUGAAUGGAAACGUGAUUGUAAAAUGCAUAUGAAUGUAUUUAUGUAUAUGUUGUUGUGAAAUGUAUGGGAUCUGGGAUUAUGGGGAUGCUGGGAAUCAUCAAUCAAUAACUCCCCUAACCCCACCGUUUUUCUCCGAUUUUUGAAUUAUUUUUGGGCUAUCUCGUUACUUUACACGUCGUUCCUCCUCCUCCCGGCUCCUCGCGCGUGCCUGCGUGACUGCUCGUAAGCGGUCACCGGUCCAACGUUUUUUUUGGCGCUGUGGGGCGUGUGCACGCGCCGGUCUUGACGGCGGGUUAGAGCCGGUUGCAUUAGUAGGCUAUUUUGCAAAAAAGUCCUCGUGUUUGCACGGAAUAUCAUAUAUGCCUUACGUCCCAUUGUAUUUUUUAAUGUAUAAUCUCUCGUAUUCCAGGAAAAUACAAUACGAACGAAGAAGAGAAAAUUCCCCUUCUAGGGGUAACGCUGUAAACAUGAAAACUAUAGGGGGUUUUCCGCAAAACGUCCUAGACUAACACCCCAAUCCUGAAACCCUCCCCUCAUUCUCUCCCUCUCCUCUCCUCCCCUCCCCUUCUCUCCCAUCUCUCCUCUCUCAGCUCAGAUUCCGGCUCGAGCUGCCAUGGCGGCGGCAGUUACUGGCGGUGGCGGCGGCGGCUUCAGGCGGUGGCUGCGCGAGGGGUGGAGCCAGCGGCGGCUCCCCUCCUUCCUCCCAGAUCCGGUGGAGGCGGAGGUGAAGGGUGGAGGCGGCGCGGAGGGUGGAUGCGGCGGCGGCCCUCCCUUCCAGAUCUGACGCGGAUCGUCGUCCCCCCACCGCCGCCGCCGCCAUAGCAGGCUCGCUCCACCCCCUAGCCCGCUCCCUCCUCCUCACCGACGGCGCCAUACCUCCUCCUCUAAGCCGGCCGGUACGCUCGGCCGCCAGCCCCAGCUUCCUCUCUUCGUCUCACGCCGCCUCCUUCCUCCCCGUCCCUUCGUUCUACUUCUUCACAACCCCCACCUCCACGCCAUGACCAACGGAUGACAUCCGUGCUCGGAUAGGUGCGGAUGCGCCUAGCGAUUUCUCCUCACCAGAUCAACCUCCACUGCAGCCUCCUCCUGCCGGAUCUGACACCUCCUCGACUCAGCAUGCUAGGUGAGUCCCCCCACCAUCCCGCUUGCGUCCACUCCAGCAUGUCAGACCCUCAGCGUCUCUGGCCCCUCCGGCUUCUAGCUGUCUGGCCUUCAUCAACAGCCACUCCUGUAGCUGCUAGAGGUCAACGCUGUCGACUAGGCCUCCAUCGGCCAUCGCAGGAGCUUCUUGAGCUACUUCCCUCAAUCUCUGAUUCAUGCUCUUAUGUAGCCAUUCAGAAUAAGACAUCCAGGCAAAGUCAACGGAAAAAGGUAAGCUGCAGGAAUUUCUCUUUUUACCCCACCAUUAAGCAUUUGGCUUCGACUAUUUGCAUUUUCUAGGAUCUGCCAUUUUCCCUAAGGUUCUUUGCAUGUCUGAUGGCUACAGAUGGUUCUGAAAUUCAACUAUAUUUUUGUGUAACCUUGCAAACGGUCCGCUAUAUAUUGCCAUUGUUUGUAAUUGACAUGUGUAUACAUCAGCUACUCAAUCCAGUAAUUGCAUAAUAGUUAAUAUUUCCUUGCUUCUAUCUUAUCAUGUAAAAAAAAUUCCCUACAAAAUUAGGCUUUCUCACCAUUGUUGCCUUCCAGAAUUAACAUGGCAUGUUGCGUACAAGAAUUAUCUUUCUUUCUAUUUCUAUGUUCUAUGGAGUUGAUGUAUUGUUCUAUGGUUUACUAGAUAGUUGAUCUAUCAAAAUCAAUCCUAGCAUUCCCAAAUUACCUAUAACAAGAGGUAUUCAUGGAUCGGUACAACAUAUAUAUCUACAGCAGGUUAGUUUCGUUCUGUUUUGUCAACACAGAAUCAUGAGGAAUUUUAGAUGUGUUCAUUCUGUGAUGCUGUCUAUAAUUCUAUAUGUAUUAAAUUUAUAUGACACGUGAGUGUAUAUAUGCAAUGCCAUUACGAACUGCUACUAUAGUCUCCCUGUGUUCUUCUCUUUGUAUACAUGAAUAACAAAUAUGGCACAAUUUAAGGCAAUUGCAGUUUUACAGGCUCUGUGCAAGUAGCUGUUUAUGUUUUAACGGUAAAUAUUUAGUUUUCCCCUGAAGAGGAGUUAGCAAAAAAAAAGUUCUUUCAUCUGAGAUGCUUAUGAUUUGUGGCUAAUGUCGUCUUAGUCGUUCUUGUUAGGCCGAAGAUCCUAGCUCAAUAUUCAAGGAAUAGAUUCCCUUCAUUACUCAUGUUAAUGUUGGGAGGGGCAACCCACUAUACUCAGCUCGUGGAUCUUCAUGAAUGGAGCUGCCAGCAUCAUAAUGACAACCAAAUAGGAGUACAAGAUAAGGAAUAAUACUCCGAGUCUCUGAUCCAACUCUUCUGCUCAUGAAACUUACAAACACCAAGUCAGUUGACUGCUGCAAGCAGUAUGGUCUCUGUAGCCAAUGCACAUAUAGCUCUCCCAUGAGUGUUUCAUGCUGGUGGUCAUAUACUCGUAUUAACAAUGCGUGUUAGAUGCACCGAGUUGCUAGCAGUGUGAAGGAGUAAUCCUUCUCGUUUGCUGCUUGCAUUGUAAACCUUGCGGUUUCACUUUUAACUGAUGUUUUGUUGUUGACGAUCUCGCAGGUCGACUGAUAGAUGCAUUGCGGAAUUCUGUGUGGAUGCAAAGCUGACUCAACAUUGUUUAGCUUUUAUAACAGAUGGCUUCAAUAGGGGCUGCGCUAUCUGGGUUAAAGAACAGCAGCUUCACCACAAUGGGUGCUGAGAAGUUGCCUGAUCAGAUGCAUGAUCUGAAGAUAAGGGAUGACAAUCUAAAUGGUAAAUACAGGAAGUUCAAGUGACUAAUAUUAACGGCAAGGGAGCAGAAACCGGCCACAUAAUUGUCACAACUACUGGUGGCAGAAAUGGUCAGCCGAAACUGGUGAUUUCUUGACAAAAUGUAAAAGUGCUUGGGAAGACAUGUUGAAUACUGAGCAUGCAGUGACCUUCUGAAAGAUAAAACAUGUUUACACGCUUGAAUAGCGAACCAUUUGCAUCUUGCAGCUGCGCUGAACUGGUUUGAAGAUGUUUGCAGACAGAAUUGUGGUUUGUAAUGAGCUCUUUCCACUUGUAGUCCUUUAUGGUGGAGAAGAAUGCCAAUCAUAGCAUCCACUAAAUGACCCAUUUGAAAGUGUUUGUCCUUUUUGUUGAUGAAAAUUAUAGCCCAAUUCACUUUUUUAUUGUUCAUCUUUGUUGGUGUGUUGUCUUCUAUUAAGCCACCUAAUGGAUUCACAAGGACUACUUAUACUUUAUUGUACUCUGUUUAUUAAACAAAUGUAGACCGUAUUUAUCAAAAUAUUAUCUACUAUCUAACCA